rnacentral:rRNA from 1 species
UACGUAGGGUGCGAGCGUUACUCGGAAUUACUGGGCGUAAAGCGUGCGCAGGCGGUUCUGUAAGACAGUUGUGAAAUCCCCGGGCUCAACCUGGGAAUUGCAUCUGUGACUGCAUAGCUAGAGUACGGUAGAGGGGGAUGGAAUUCCGCGUGUAGCAGUGAAAUGCAUAGAUAUGACCCGGAACACCGAUUGCGAAGGCAGCCCACUAAGCAACCAUUGACGCUGAGGCACGAAAGCGUGGGGAUCAAACAGG